UCAUUUUCCCUUAUUUUCUCUUAUUUUCUUAUCUCUCUCAACAGGAUUCACAUCGACUUCUCCUCCUCCCAUUUUUUCUGCUCUUCGAAUCCCAAACCGAAUAUGCGAAAUCAACACCAAUUUCUCCAAAACCCUAAUCUCACAAAUCAAAACUCGUCUUUUGGAAAUCAAAUCUAAUCUUUCAAUAACUCAAACCCUAGAACUCGUUUCUUAUGUAAAGAUAAAUAUGUGAGAUGCUUGGUUCCAACCUGAAGUUUCUUUCUCUAAUUGUAAAUUAAUAGAUCCUGCAAGGUGUUGGUGGUGUGGUUAGAUCUGCAGAUUUUUGGGCUUGUUGGUGCCGGUGGUGCCUCAUUAUCUUAGUGUCUGUGAUGUGCAUCUGGAUUUACUAUGAGAAUGGGUGGUGGUGCUGGUGCUGGUGUGAUGCAGGUAAAGGUUGGAGGAGAGAAUCUCACUUUCAAGGUAUGCACAUGUAAUUUAUGCUUUUCAUCCCUCCCUUACCUGGUAAGAAAUAAAAUAAUGUUAUAGUCCUUUGGUUGCUUUGGUUGUGAAGAAACAUAUAUACUGUUUUUUCAAUGCUAAAAUUAUGAUCAUUGUAAAUCUUGUGUUUGCAGGUACCAUAGUUACUUCAAUGUCUAUGAAGUUAGCUCUCAGUGGAACUUACCCUGUCAUAAAGAAGUUUCAUUCUGUAAAUCUAAUCCACUUAGUUUCUUCUUAUGGAAUGUGCCUUAACUCAACACGCGAAAUUUUGCAUGGGAUGUGAUGCAGGGAGCUUGGUUGCUUACUUCGAGAAGAUUCAAAGCUUCAGGUGGAUUAGGUCAUUCUCUUCAGAUAAUGGUGACAUUGUUGAUGCUGUUGUUCCUUUCAUGGGAGAAUCCAUUACAGAUGGUACUCUAGCAGCUUUCUUGAAAAG